GAAAUGUUGACUAUGUGAGUGGUGCAGUGGAGUUAUGUUGACUGAAUGAGUAAUAUUAUAUGAGUAAUGUUGAAUAUUUGAGUAGUGUUGACUAUAUGAAUAUAGUGCUGUGAAGUAAUGCCGACUAUGUGAGUGGUGCUUUGGAGGAAUGAUGACUUUGUGAGUAGCGUUAUGUGAGUAAUGUUGACUUUGGAGUUAUGUUGAUUAUGUAAGUGGUGCAGAAAAAUGAUGUUAGCUAUGUGAGUAAUGCUGUGGAGUAAUGUUGACUACGUGCGUGUUUCUAUGGAGUAAUGUUUGACUAUGUGAGUGGUGCUUCGGAGUAAUGUUGUCUAUUUGAGUGUAGCUUUCGAGUAAUCUUGACUAUGUGAGUGGUACUGUUUAGAAAUGUUGACUAUGUGACUGCCAGUGAGUAAUAUUGACUGUGUGAGUAGUGUGCAGUGGAGUUAUGUUUACUAUGUGAGUGUUGCUUUUGAGUAUUAUUGACUAUGUGAGUGUUGCUUUUGAGUAAUGUUAAAUGUGUUAGAAGUGUAAUGUGAGUAAUCUUGACUAUAUGAGUGGUGCUCUGUGUGGUAAUUUUUUGACUGUGUGAGUGGUGCAUUGGAGUAAUGUUGACUUUGUGAGUGCUUUUGAGUAAUGUUGACUAUGUGGGUGGUACUGUGGAGUAAUGUUGAAUGUGUGGGUAGUGUUAUGUGAGUAAUGUUGACAAUGUGAGGGGUGCUAUGGAGCAAUGUUGACUAUGUAGUGGUGCUAUGGAGUAAUGUUGACUAUGCGAGUGUUGCUUUUGAGUAUUGUUUCUAUGUGAGUGGUACUGUGAAGUAAUAUUGAAAGUGUGAGUAGUGUUAUGUGAGUAAUGUUGACUAUGUUAGUGGUGAUCCGUGAGUAAUGUUGCCUUUGUGAGUGGUGCAGAGGAGUGAUGUUGACUAUGUGAGUGUUUCUGUGGAAUAAUGUUGAAUAUGUAGGUGGUGCUUUUGAGUAAUGUUGAAUGUUUGAGUGUUGUUAUGUGAGUAAUGUUGACUAUGUGAGUGGUUCUUUUUAAGUGAGUGAUGUAGUGGAGUAAUGUUGACUAUUUGAGUGGUGCUGUGGAGUAAUGUUGACUAUGUGAGUGUUGUUAUGUGAGUAAUGUUGACUAUGUGAGUACCGUUAUGUGAGUAAUGUUGACUAUAUAAGUGGUGCAGUGAAACAAUGUUAACUACUAGUAUGUUAUUGAUGUUGUGGAUUAAUGUUGACUACGUGAGUGGUGCUAUGGAGUAAUGUUGACUAUGUGAGUGGUGCUUUGGAGUAAUUGUAAUCAAGUGCCUAAACGUUUAAACGUUUUAUACCAGUCCUUGCCGGAGGGGUUACAAUAUAGACAACAUUACACCAAACAAUGAAAAAUACCGGAAAUAGCAUUAUAAUACUAAAUACAAUCAAAAUUUAAAUAUUGCCAAUAGCUUGUUAAAAGCAUUCACGCCAAUUCAACCUGUUUCCUUUAAGAAAAAAAAUCUUGCGUAUAGCUGAAAUAAUGGUAAAAAAACAAAAUCAAAAUCAUAUUAGCAUUCGUUGUUUUUCACAGAUCAUAUCAUGCACAUGCUCUAGGUGUUAAGCCUUCACGUAUUAUACUGUGACGUCUACUUUAAUGCCGCAUCAGACGAAAUCAUUUUUUUGAAAAUCGAUGUUUCAUCACAUUAUAAACCAUCUUUUAAAUAUAGAAAGCGGAAUUGGAUGCAUAAAACAGUAAAAAAAAAAAAAAAAAAAAAAACGUCAUCACGUUAAACGAGAUUUGACGUCGUGAUUUCCACAUGACGCUGACGUCGUUUCUACGCGACAUUGUCAUUGACGCCACAGCAAUAGCAAAGCGAAUUUAUUCACUUAGCAGUUUUCAGCGAUAUUUAAUGAUUAUCGACAGUUAUGGAGGAAGUUUUUAUACCGAAAAUAUCUAUGCUGACCCAAGAUGGAGGAAUAUUUUCCAGUCUUGACAGUUUAUCUGUAUUUACCGGAUACGUUCCCAUUACAGUUCCGAUUUUCCAGGCAGUGAAAGUAAAGCAAGAAAACAGACUAACCACUUUCCUGCAAAACAUUGAGAAACUCUGUUCUGAAAUAUUCUAGACAAAGAUUAUGAUAUCAUUAGUACUGAUGAAGAUUUUGAUACACUGUUUUCCUCUGAGACACACCUAGUUUUAAAAGAACGCAAAAGAACGCUGGUACACCUCAUUAAGAAACAUGAAACAGCCCUGCUUGCAUUGAGAGAAGCUAGAAUGAAUUGUUGGAAGUCAAAGGCAAAACUGCAAAAGU